rnacentral:rRNA from 1 species
GUAGGUGGCAAGCGUUGUCCGGAAUUAUUGGGCGUAAAGCGCGCGCAGGUGGUUCGUUUAAGUCUGAUGUGAAAGACCCCCGGGCUCAACCGGGGAGGGUCAUUGGAAACUGGGGAACUUGAGUGCAGGAGAGGAAAGUGGAAUUCCACGUGUAGCGGUGAAAUGCGUAGAUAUGUGGAGGAACACCAGUGGCGAAGGCGACUUUCUGGCCUGUAACUGACACUGAGGCGCGAAAGCGUGGGGAGCAAGCAGGAUUAGAUACCCUGGUAGUCCACGCCGUAAACGAUGAGUGCUAAGUGUUGGGGGGUUUCCGCCCCUCAGUGCUGCAGCUAACGCAUUAAGCACUCCGCCUGGGGAGUACGGUCGCAAGACUG